rnacentral:rRNA from 1 species
UUCAGAGGUCCCAAGCGUUGUUCGGAUUCACUGGGCGUAAAGGGUGCGUAGGUGGUCGGGUAAGUUUAAGGUGAAAGCUCCGGGCUCAACCCGGAAAUGGCCUUGAAUACUAUCCGGCUCGAGGGUUGGAGGGGGGACUGGAAUUCUCGGUGUAGCAGUGAAAUGCGUAGAUAUCGAGAGGAACACCAGUGGCGAAGGCGAGUCCCUGGACAACACCUGACACUGAGGCACGAAAGCUAGGGGAGCAAACGGG